AACGAACGCUGGCGGCAGGCUUAACACAUGCAAGUCGAACGCCCCGCAAGGGGAGUGGCAGACGGGUGAGUAACGCGUGGGAACAUACCCUUUUCUACGGAAUAGCCCUGGGAAACUGGAAUUAAUACCGUAUACGCCCUACGGGGGAAAGAUUUAUCGGGGAAGGAUUGGCCCGCGUUGGAUUAGCUAGUUGGUGGGGUAAAGGCCUACCAAGGCGACGAUCCAUAGCUGGUCUGAGAGGAUGAUCAGCCACAUUGGGACUGAGACACGGCCCAAACUCCUACGGGAGGCAGCAGUGGGGAAUAUUGGACAAUGGGCGCAAGCCUGAUCCAGCCAUGCCGCGUGAGUGAUGAAGGCCUUAGGGUUGUAAAGCUCUUUCACCGAUGAAGAUAAUGACGGUAGUCGGAGAAGAAGCCCCGGCUAACUUCGUG
rnacentral:rRNA from 1 species